rnacentral:lncRNA from 1 species
ACAAACUUGAAUUAUGAUAGUAAGCUGAAUUUUUUCUUGUUCCUUGUUUUCUUGAAACAUUGAGAAGAAUUUCAGCAUGGGAGAUGGUCAGUCUCAUUAAAACAAUAAUCGUCAGAGAGGGAGUGAUAGGAUUCUACAAGGGCAUCAUAUCAAAUGUUGUGAAAGUGUUUCCAGCAGUCUGCAUAAAAGCUACAUCAUUUAUAAUAAAACAAAGGGAAGUCUGGGAAUAGUUGAGGUGUGAAAUGUUGAGCUGCUCUUAGCAUAAUUGCUUAUAUUCAUGACAGUUUUGGAUCUAUUUUUCUCUUAAAAUUUUAACAGCUUAUGUGAACAGAUAUUAUAUCUUUAUUCCUCAAUAGAAGAGUGUAUCAGCUAGCCUUUAUGACAUUUGAUUUUAACUUUAUAUUUGACAGAAUUGAGGUUAAAAUCCUUAAUCCCUGGAACUCUAUUUACCCUCCUUCUGACUCUCCAUUGAAGAGGAACCCAAGACUUUCAUUUGAAUGGACUGAAAAAUAUUUUAGAAAGCCAUUUGGGGAUACCCUUGGAAAUCUUACAUUUAUAGACUUCCAUUUUGUAAAAUGUGAG